rnacentral:rRNA from 1 species
CAUGCAAGUCGAGGGGCAGCAUGUUGGUUGCUUGCAACCAACGAUGGCGACCGGCGCACGGGUGAGUAACGCGUAUCCAACCUACCCUUGUCCAUCGGAUAACCCGUCGAAAGGCGGCCUAACACGAUAUGCGGUUCACAGCAGGCAUCUAACGUGAACGAAAUGUAAAGGAGAAGGAUGGGGAUGCGUCUGAUUAGCUUGUUGGCGGGGUAACGGCCCACCAAGGCUACGAUCAGUAGGGGUUCUGAGAGGAAGGUCCCCCACAUUGGAACUGAGACACGGUCCAAACUCCUACGGGAGGCAGCAGUGAGGAAUAUUGGUCAAUGGACGAGAGUCUGAACCAGCCAAGUAGCGUGCAGGAUGACGGCCCUAUGGGUUGUAAACUGCUUUUAUAGGGGGAUAAAGUGUGCCACGUGUGGCAUAUUGCAGGUACCCUAUGAAUAAGGACCGGCUAAUUCCGUGCCAGCAGCCGCGGUAAUACGGAAGGUCCGGGCGUUAUCCGGAUUUAUUGGGUUUAAAGGGAGCGUAGGCCGUUUGGUAAGCGUGUUGUGAAAUGUCGGGGCUCAACCUGGGCAUUGCAGCGCGAACUGCCAGACUUGAGUGCGCAGGAAGUAGGCGGAAUUCGUCGUGUAGCGGUGAAAUGCUUAGAUAUGACGAAGAACUCCGAUUGCGAAGGCAGCCUGCUGUAGCGCAACUGACGCUGAAGCUCGAAAGCGUGGGUAUCGAACAGGAUUAGAUACCCUGGUAGUCCACGCGGUAAACGAUGGAUGCUCGCUGUUUGCGUCUGACGUAAGCGGCCAAGCGAAAGCGUUAAGCAUCCCACCUGGGGAGUACGCCGGCAACGGUGAAACUCAAAGGAAUUGACGGGGCCGCACAAGCGGAGGAACAUGUGGUUUAAUUCGAUGAUACGCGAGGAA